rnacentral:rRNA from 1 species
AGAGUUUGAUCCUGGCUCAGGACGAACGCUGGCGGCGUGCUUAACACAUGCAAGUCGAACGGAAAGGCCCUGCUUUUGUGGGGUGCUCGAGUGGCGAACGGGUGAGUAACACGUGAGUAACCUGCCCUUGACUUUGGGAUAACUUCAGGAAACUGGGGCUAAUACCGGAUAGGAGCUCCUGCUGCAUGGUGGGGGCUGGAAAGUUUCGGCGGUUGGGGAUGGACUCGCGGCUUAUCAGCUUGUUGGUGGGGUAGUGGCUUACCAAGGCUUUGACGGGUAGCCGGCCUGAGAGGGUGACCGGCCACAUUGGGACUGAGAUACGGCCCAGACUCCUACGGGAGGCAGCAGUGGGGAAUAUUGCACAAUGGGCGGAAGCCUGAUGCAGCAACGCCGCGUGCGGGAUGACGGCCUUCGGGUUGUAAACCGCUUUCGCCUGUGACGAAGCGUGAGUGACGGUAAUGGGUAAAGAAGCACCGGCUAACUACGUGCCAGCAGCCGCGGUGAUACGUAGGGUGCGAGCGUUGUCCGGAUUUAUUGGGCGUAAAGGGCUCGUAGGUGGUUGAUCGCGUCGGAAGUGUAAUCUUGGGGCUUAACCCUGAGCGUGCUUUCGAUACGGGUUGACUUGAGGAAGGUAGGGGAGAAUGGAAUUCCUGGUGGAGCGGUGGAAUGCGCAGAUAUCAGGAGGAACACCAGUGGCGAAGGCGGUUCUCUGGGCCUUUCCUGACGCUGAGGAGCGAAAGCGUGGGGAGCGAACAGGCUUAGAUACCCUGGUAGUCCACGCUGUAAACGGUGGGUACUAGGUGUGGGGUCCAUUCCACGGGUUCCGUGCCGUAGCUAACGCUUUAAGUACCCCGCCUGGGGAAUACGGCCGCAAGGCUAAAACUCAAAGGAAUUGACGGGGCCCCGCACAAGCGGCGGAGCAUGCGGAUUAAUUCGAUGCAACGCGUAGAACCUUACCUGGGUUU